rnacentral:snRNA from 1 species
AUGUCUUCCGAAGAAAGUGU